rnacentral:rRNA from 1 species
CUCGCUCUGCGAUCAGGCCAGCAUCGGUUUCGGCGGUCGGAUAAAGACCCUGGGAACGUAGCUCCUCUUCGGGGGAGUGUUAUAGCCCUCGGUGCCCUGCGGCCAGCCGGGACCGAGGACCGCGCUUCGGCUAGGAUGCUGGCGUAAUGGUUGUCAGCGACCCGUCUUGAAACACGGACCAAGGAGUUGACAUUGAUGCGAGUGUUUGGGUGUCAAACCCAUGCGCGAAAUGAAAGUGAACGGAGGUGAGAACCCUUAAGGGCGCAUCAUCGACCGAUCCAGAUGUCUUCGGAUGGAUUUGAGUAUGAGCAUUUCUGGUCUGACCCGAAAGAUGGUGAACUAUGCCUGAGUAGGGUGAAGCCAGAGGAAACUCUGGGGAGGCUCGCAGCGGUUCUGACGUGCAAAUCGAUCGUCAAAUUUGGGUAUAGGGCGAAAGACUAUCGACCUCUAUACUGGUCCUGCGAGUUCCUCAGAUGCAGUACGUUUCGUUUUGAGUAAGCGAUGUUAAGGCUUGGGUGAACACCUAACUAUCCAACUUAAGUAGACCUGUACUUAUUGACGGGAUUGAUGCGUACAGGGCCUUUGGAACAAAUGGAUCGGAUACCGACGCAGUAAGCGGAUUCAACCAAAGGUUGAUCCGCGGGCUGAUCGAACUAGGACCCGC